GAUUACUUUGAAUAUUUUUAUUAGGUACAAGUUACAUGAGUAGCUUACAUUAAUCCUAUAUCAUAGAUAAUUUAUGAUGACAGAGUGUGUGUCAUUAUCUUUAUUUACACAACACUCAAGAGGGAAAGUGGUCGUAUUUCAUCACUAGGUUGCUUUUGCAAACGUUUUUCGAAAGUCUUUCUCUACUUUUAUUAAUUGAAUAUUUAAAGAAUAUGGUCAACUUAACUGCUUUUUUUCAAAUAUUACUGUGUUCAUUGACAUUUUAAAUUACGGAUCAAUAAAUGAAACCACUUUACUGCCCCUGUUCGCAUAAAAGCCCCAUAUGCAUUUUCAUCACUUUUUUUGGUUUAAAAUUAUGUGAACUUUCAAAAAAGCUAAAUACAUUUAUGCGAACAGGGGCAAUUUUUCUGUUUAUGAAAUGACUCAUGUAUAUCCUUUUGACAAAUGGGCCAAAGCAAAUGGGAAAACGGUUGAGAUUUUUUUUAAAUAUUAACUGGGUGUUUGAGAAAAUGCAUAUUUAUGGCAUCGUUGAUAGAUUUUGUAGUUAGAGGUAUUGAUUUUUUCAAGCAAACUCACUAGCAUUCGAAAAAAAAAACAA